AGUGAACGCUGGCGGUAGGCCUAACACAUGCAAGUCGAACGGCAGCACAGGAGAGCUUGCUCUCUGGGUGGCGAGUGGCGGACGGGUGAGGAAUACAUCGGAAUCUACUCUGUCGUGGGGGAUAACGUAGGGAAACUUACGCUAAUACCGCAUACGACCUACGGGUGAAAGCAGGGGACCUUCGGGCCUUGCGCGAUUGAAUGAGCCGAUGUCGGAUUAGCUAGUUGGCGGGGUAAAGGCCCACCAAGGCGACGAUCCGUAGCUGGUCUGAGAGGAUAAUCAGCCACACUGGAACGGAGACACGGUCCAGACUCCUACGGGAGGCAGCAGUGGGGAAUAUUGGACAAUGGGCGCAAGCCUGAUCCAGCCAUACCGCGUGGGUGAAGAAGGCCUUCGGGUUGUAAAGCCCUUUUGUUGGGAAAGAAAUCCAGCUGGCUAAUACCCGGUUGGGAUGACGGUACCCAAAGAAUAAGCACCGGCUAACUUCGUGCCAGCCGCCGCAGUAA
rnacentral:rRNA from 1 species